GGAUGUGAAAGCAAUCUGACAGCGACAUCUGUCACUCCAUUGUAUGCCAGGUCUGAUAGGAGGGAUUUGGCUGGCUGGAAGGUGUCCAGUGAUUCCCUCACUGUUCUAUGCUGUCAUUCUGCCAUAGGCAUUGGCUGCAUCUUCAGGAUGUCACCCAAGUCAAAGAGGGUGAUACUCAGAUACAGGUGGACCACACCAUGGUCUAGGUGAUCAAUAUAGAUGAACACACCUGUUAGAACCUUAAAACAAGCAUGCAAGGUUCACUUCUACUUUUGCUAUUUGUAAAACAGUAAAUGCACUUUAAAAUGUAAUGAAAUUGUUCAGUU
rnacentral:snRNA from 1 species